AACCACUGGUCGGUAAACGGUUUACCCAGUUCUCCGUCUCACCAGUAUUGUUGCCUGAAGCUCUAGUUUUGAAGACCCUCAGCUCCAAAUUUUUACGCUUUUUAUGAAGGGAUAUAGCAGGCGUAGAGCCUAGGCGGUAUUGAGCGUGAAUUUGAGAUGAAUUAUGCGGAAUUAAGGUUUUAGGGUUUCGAAAUUUGGAGGGCAGAGAAGGGGAAACUGUGGUUAGGAUUGUAUUGUGCGUGGAGUUCAUCGGUCGAGAAGAAUGAAAGUGACGAACGCAGCAGAAACAGCAAUGGUGUAGCGUAAAUCUUCCUAAAACGACGUAACAAACAGUUGCCGUUUGUGAAAGACGAUAAUAAUAUAGAAGUCGUUAUUAAAUCCACGAAAGUGCUGUUGCUAUCCAGACGAUACGUCGUUUUUCCUCUCAAUGGGUGUUGAUAUGGGUUAACAUAUAUGGCAGCGAUAGCAAUAUUUGGGUUAACAUAUAUAAUUAGUGGAAGGUCCAGCUCUUUAGGCUUAUUACUCUUUCUUAUUAUCUCUACUAGACAAAUCAUUCAACAACAUUGCAAUUUUACAAUCUAAUUCAAGCCUCACAACCUAAUUACACAAUUGGGGUUAAUUUAGAUAAUUUUUAUUUUAGAUCGCAAUUGGGCUAGUUAAUUUAGAUAUUUUUAGUCUAGAUAACAAUAAAAUGUACAGUUGGAGUUACUUCGGACAUUUUUGUUUUAGAUCACAAUCCUACUCAUAGGCAUGGUACUCCAGUCCAUCCAUCAAACCUACUAAUGUUUUCAAGACAAUCACAUACAAUAUCCAUGAAUCACCAAACAUCUACCACGUUGGGCUAAGCUACCUGGGGGGCUGUAGUGUGGAGAUGAGAGGGAUGUCCUUGGAAAUUAGGGGAACAAGACUAGCUCUAGCACAUACAGGUUCACAUGCUGAGUUCUAACAACUUAAUCUCUCGAAUUCAUUAAGAAGCAUUUUGGAAAAAUGCGUCAAAAAUUUAUAUAAUGGCUGACAAACAACUGUUUGAUUUGAAUUUCAGAGUACUGUGUUUACCAUCCAAACUUGUCUCGGGAGAAUCCAUAUUGACAGAAGAGCAAGGAACACUACCAAUCCAAAACGCAUUAUUAGAUGUGAUCGUGCUGGUAAAACAACUAAGGCCAAAAGCCAUAUCUGCAUUAGCAAAAAAAUAGAGUCAAUAUGCAGUAGAAAUAAUUUCUCUCCUCGCAAUUAGCAAUAGUAAAUAUGGAUAAACAAUAGAAAUUUAGUCAAGCGUACACGAAUAAUAUCACGACCAAUCAAGUAACUAAGGCAACAUGCUGAGUUUAGCAACUUUGGGUAGACUUUAAAAGCCAUAAUCUUUCAUUACUAAAACCAGAGUUUAACACUAACCCCAAAUUGUUGAAGUAUCAGCCUUUGCAUAACCCGGCUGAACAAAAUUGUUCUUUUUAUUUUUUCUAGCGGUACACACUCUUCACUCCAAAAGAGGCCGUCCAAGACGUGUGGAAAAAACCCAUGAACUAAAUUAAGCUACAAUAUGAAGAAUUAAUUAUAUGAAACAAAAUGCCCAAAUUGAAGUUUACCAAUUUCACUCGAGGAUCAACAGAGUGCAGAAAUGUAGUGGGUGAAGAUAUGAACUGGCCAAUGGGACUCGCGGUAGCACUCGAAAUCAGUCUAAAAAUCUUGUCGGCUGCCAAACCACUGGUCGGUAAACGGUUUACCCAGUUCUCCGUCUCACCAGUAUUGUUGCCUGAAGCUCUAGUUUUGAAGACCCUCAGCUCCAAAUUUUUACGCUUUUUAUGAAGGGAUAUAGCAGGCGUAGAGCCUAGGCGGUAUUGAGCGUGAAUUUGAGAUGAAUUAUGCGGAAUUAAGGUUUUAGGGUUUCGAAAUUUGGAGGGCAGAGAAGGGGAAACUGUGGUUAGGAUUGUAUUGUGCGUGGAGUUCAUCGGUCGAGAAGAAUGAAAGUGACGAACGCAGCAGAAACAGCAAUGGUGUAGCGUAAAUCUUCCUAAAACGAC
rnacentral:lncRNA from 1 species